rnacentral:rRNA from 1 species
GAUGAACGCUGGCGGCGUGCCUAAUACAUGCAAGUCGAGCGAACAGACGAGGAGCUUGCUCCUCUGACGUUAGCGGCGGACGGGUGAGUAACACGUGGAUAACCUACCUAUAAGACUGGGAUAACUUCGGGAAACCGGAGCUAAUACCGGAUAAUAUAUUGAACCGCAUGGUUCAAUAGUGAAAGACGGCUUUGCUGUCACUUAUAGAUGGAUCUGCGCUGCAUUAGCUAGUUGGUAAGGUAACGGCUUACCAAGGCAACGAUGCGUAGCCGACCUGAGAGGGUGAUCGGCCGCACUGGAGCUGAGACACGGACCAGACUCCUACGGGAGGCAGCAGUAGGGAAUCGUCCGCAGUGGGCGAAAGCCUGACGGAGCGACGCCGCGUGAGUGAUGAAGGUCUUCGGAUCGUAAAACUCUGUUAUGAGGGAAGAACAAAUGUGUAAGUAACUAUGCACGUCUUGACGGUACCUAAUCAGAAAGCCACGGCUAACUACGUG